rnacentral:lncRNA from 1 species
UUAGUUAAAAACUAAAUGGAUUUGUAUAUUGUUACAAAAUUCAAACAUACAUUAAUUUGACAUACAGACAUGAUGCACGCCAUGUUACUUAUACACACAAAAAACAUAAAUACUCUCUUGAUGUCUUUUUAAGUCUUUAAGUCUUACCUUCUCCCAUGUCUUUUUUUCAUGUUUUAAUUUGUAGAGGAGAAAUUGACAAAAUUAUAAAACAAUCCACGAUCGAUGUUUACAAAAAAAAAAAAAAAAAAAAAAAAAAAAAAAAAAAAAAAAAAUCUAAAAAAAAAAUCUAAAUCUAAACAUAAUCGAAACUCGAUCUGGUUAAUAUAUAAUUUGCACAUUCUAUCGACUAUCGUCAUCUACAAAUUCGUCUACCACGAUAUUCAUUGUUAUUCGACGAAGGUUCCACCACUUCAUCGGCAAAUCUCACUUUCUUCUUCUUCUUCUCUCGCAGCGCCUCCUCUGUCGGAACCAACCGGGGGCUUGUUAUUCUAUUUCGUCCUGCACAAAAAUUCCGAUUGAAGCUAGAUACCGGAAAAAGAGAGAGGAAUUAAUUAUUAUCGAUACGUACCGAAUGUUUGAUUCAAUUUCCUCAUGGCGUCGGAGGCUAGUCGACGGUGAGCCUGCAAUGUUACAAACACUACACCUCCCGUCCCCAACACAGCGAUCAAGAAUCCCACGUAAUUGGUGCAGUCCAUUCAAGGUUAAGGAUGAAUGAUGUUGGUGGAUUGGUGGGAGGGAAAUGAGAGAGACGGAAACAAAUUAAACGAGGGUGGGAGUCUAAGAGCCUGGGAGGGAAAAGGAAUCGAGAACGUUUUAAUUACGUUGAAAGUUGGGAUGCGUCUUUUCAUUCGAACCCUUUAUUUUUUUGAAAAUAGUUUUUCUAUUUUCUAUCUACGAAAUUACGAUUUUCUUCUUCUUCUUCUGUCUUUAGAAACUGUUUUUACGUUUUAGGUAGCUGUUUGAUUGAUGAAUCUCAGAAUCUCCUCCCAGGUCUCACCUAAAACGGUGAA